AGCAGCCGCAGUAAUUCCAGCUCCAAUAGCGUAUAUUAAAGUUGUUGCAGCUAAAAAGCUCGUAGUUGAAUUUCGGGGUCAGUAGAUUGGUCAUGCCUCCGGUAUGCACUGGUCUUACUGGCUCCUCCUUCCUGAUGAACCGUAAUGCCAUUAAUUUGGUGUUGCGGGGAGACUGGACUGUUACUUUGAAAAAAUUAGAGUGUUUAAAGCAGGCUAACGCUUGAAUACAUUAGCAUGGAAUAAUGAAAUAGGACGUUCGAUCUUAUUUUGUUGGUUUCUAAGAUUGACGUAAUGAUUAAUAGGGAUAGUUGGGGGCAUUAGUAUUCAAUUGUCAGAGGUGAAAUUCUUGGAUUUAUUGAAGACUAACUACUGCGAAAGCAUUUGCCAAAGAUGUUUUCAUUAAUCAAGAACGAAAGUUAGGGGAUCGAAGACGAUCAGAUACCGUCGUAGUCUUAACCAUAAACUAUGCCGACUAGGGAUCGGAUGAUGUUAAUUUUUAAUGACUCAUUC
rnacentral:rRNA from 1 species